UUGACCACCUACAUACCAAAGACGAGCGCCUUUACGCUUGCCUUUAGUACCUCGCAACGGCUGCGGACGACCAGGGCGAGCGCCAGAACGUUUUUUACCUUUAGACAUUACAUCACUCCUUCUGCACGUAAUUUUUGACGCACGUUUUCUUCUGCGUCAGUAAGAACGUCAGUGUUUCCUGCGCGUACACGCAAGGUAAA
rnacentral:rRNA from 1 species